rnacentral:rRNA from 1 species
UACGGAGGGUGCAAGCGUUAAUCGGAAUUACUGGGCGUAAAGCGCACGCAGGUGGCUGAGUCAGUCGAUUGUGAAAGCCCUGGGCUUAACCUGGGAAUUGCAGUCGAUACUACUCAGCUAGAGUAUGGGAGAGGGCAGUGGAAUUCCCGGUGUAGCGGUGAAAUGCGUAGAUAUCGGGGAGAACGACGGUGCGAAGGCGGAUCUCUGGAACGCAACUGACGCUGAGACGCGAAAGCGUGGGGAGCAAACAGG